rnacentral:lncRNA from 1 species
GAAGUCCGAGCUGAAACUUUGGCCACUAAAUUGCCCUGUCUCACUACAGAAUUCAAUCCACGUUACUCCAUUGCCAUUUGUUACCACGUCCUUCAGUCUCCUCAAUCUCUCAGUCCCCUUAUUUUUCGUGACCUUGACAACUUUGAGGAGGACUCAUCAGCCCUCAGAGAUUCCUUCUCCUCGCUGCUCCUCCUCUCCCAGACAAAGCUGCAGCACUGCCAAGGACAUGGAUCUCUCAAGCUCCUGUCUGGCACAUUGCAGGAAGUAAGGGGCAUGUCUAACCACCACGCUCAGCCAAGCCAAAGAACAAAGGCAGCGGCACUCUCUCUGGACCUUGGGGAAUAACACAGCCCUCCCAGGCAGAAGAUGCAAGCAUUCCUGUUGCAGUGCAAUUAGGAGCAGCGAAGAAACUCAGACAUGUGCCCCUUCUGUGUUGGCAACUGAUAUGACAGAACUUCAUGAGGUGCAAAAUACAGGCUGUGUGUGUGUGUGUGUGUGUGUGUGCACACUCGGUGCUAUAUGCUGCAGCCCAAGUUUCAGAGUGAUUUUUAACUUGAAGCUGAUGAGAUGGGAUAUUGUGUCUUUUUUAAAAAUGUAACCAACAACAAACUUUGCUUGGUGUAAUUUUAGCAAGGACGCAAGUGUGCCAAGGUGCAGUAUGUUAUUGUUGAACUACUGUUUUGACAAAAUAGUAUGUAUGUGUGGUUGUGUCUGUGAGUAUAAAGGAGGCAAGCAAAAAGAGAAAAAAUGAUAUGUACUUUUUAGGGAAGUGAAUGCAAUAACAGAGAGACAAGAAAUUUAGAUUAGAAAGCUGUUAAGUUUCACUGUUGUCACAGGUCUUCUUGGAAGCUGUUUGUCUGUAAAGAGGCACCCAAAUACUCAGCUAAUUCUUAAAACAUUUUUUCUAGCAAGUAUCUCUGGAGCUUACCCUGUGCUAGGCACAGUAGUAGCCCAGGCCACUCCAAGAUGCACAGGACAUAUUUCUGCUGCCCCAUGGUCCACUGGGGACAAUUAUAUAGAUCUGCACAGAACUGCCCCAUCAUUCCAUAAGUCACCAGAGUGGACAAUAUUUUAUUGCUAUAAUUAAUGCAAAGCUCUGCUGGUAGUGACUGUCAUAUAGCAGCAUCCCCAAUAAAUUAAUAGGCACAGG